rnacentral:rRNA from 1 species
UACGUAGGGGGCAAGCGUUGUCCGGAUUUAUUGGGCGUAAAGCGCACGCAGGCGGUCUCUUAAGUUUUGAGUGACAGGUGGUGGCUCAACUACCACAGGGCUUGGAAACUGGGAGACUUGAGGACUUCAGAGGGAUGCGGAAUUCCAGGUGGAGCGGUGAAAUGCGUAGAGAUCUGGAAGAACACCAAAGGCGAAGGCAGCAUCCUGGGAAGUGCCUGACGCUCAUGUGCGAAAGCUAGGGGAGCGAACGGG